rnacentral:rRNA from 1 species
GGGAUCGCCCUUCCUACGGGAGGCAGCAGUGGGGAAUUUUGGACAAUGGGGGAAACCCUGAUCCAGCCAUGCCGCGUGAGUGAAGAAGGCCUUCGGGUUGUAAAGCUCUUUCAGCCGGAAAGAAAUCGCACUGGUUAAUACCUUGUGUGGAUGACGGUACCGGAAGAAGAAGCACCGGCUAACUACGUGCCAGCAGCCGCGGUAAUAAGGGCGAUCC